rnacentral:rRNA from 1 species
AAUUCUGGACAAUGGGGGAAACUCUGAUCCAGCCAUCUCGUGUGUGUGAGGAAGGCCUUCGGGUUCUAAAGCACUUUUCGCAGAGACGAGAAGGUAUCUCCUAAUACGAGAUACUGCUGACGGUAUCUGCAGCAUAAGCACCGGCUAAUCACGUGCCAGCAGCCGCGGUAAUACGUAGGGUGCAAGCGUUAAUCGGAAUUACUGGGCGUAAAGAGUGUGUAGGCGGUUAGGAGAGAAAGAUGUAAAAGCCCAGGGCUCAACCUUGGAACUGCAUUUUUAACUGCCGAGCUAGAGUAGGUCAGAGGGGGGUAGAAUUCCACGUAUAGCAGUGAAAUGCGUAGAUAUGUGGAGGAAUACCGAUGGCGAAGGCAGCCCCCUGGGAUAAUGCUGACGCUCAGACACGAAAGCGUGGGGAGCAA